GCAACCGGGUGCCCGGGAUUACUCAGAGGCCUCCGAGAUUUCCAAAUUGAAUAUAGCAAAAAUAAUGGGCAGAUCGCCCGAGCGUGAUACUUGUGUAAGGCUGGUCCCCGCCAGUACAAUAGAUGGGACUAGAGCUAACGUUUUCAAUAGCACUUAGACUGAUGCAAUGCAAGAACCACAUAUGGUUCAUUAAGACCUCUGUAUAAGAGUGGAAGUUUGCUAGGUUUAGCCUCGGCCUUUUCAGACAGCUGCGUGGCCAGUCUUUUGUGGCGACCGUGAUCCUCUCCACAAUCGUUUAGAUGUCAGCAAAUUGGCGGGUUAAUGGCGGGCAGAAGGCAGGACUAACCCUACCCACAAGGCCGGCCGACCACCCAGAUCACAGGUCGGUAUUGUGCGGAGAGGAGUGGCACGUGGUGUCGGUGACAGGGACCUGUCGCCCCGGACAGGACCCACGGGCCACAUGGGCCGGCCGGCCGCGAGGGACGCAUGACUAAGCCCCGGGAUCCACCCCCCGAUGACAACACCGUCUCCGCGCGACCAAUGGCCGCCAGGCCUCGGGCGAGCUCCCGCUUUGCAUGUGAAUAGAGUUGUCUGCUUAUCCUGCGCGACCGUGAUCGGACGUCCACUGACACCGCGCUGUGCGAACGGAGUGGCGCUGCAGCUCUCACGGCCCUCCACGCGGCCUCGUGCCCUUGGACUGGGGGCGGGAGGGGGGCCGAACUUGCCCCGGCCAUGGUGACGGUGGGGCACCACAGGGGGAUUCCUCGUCACCUGAAAGCAUACCGUAACUCUCGGCAUUGAAGGAGAAGUGAGGCACCUGAGAGACCGUCAUUUUUGCUCGCUACAGAGCACCUUUGUUUCACCUGGUGGUGACAGCUCUCGGAGGCAUCUGCGGUGUAAAAUGGACGACAGAAGACAGACGUGGAGAAUCAGGACAACCUGUGACAGUCACGUUACGUACGACGCAGGGCCCUGGCUGACAGGGGAUAGGUGCAGGAAGACGUCUAUAACAAGCACAACAGUUUACCUACAUACAUGUAUGGUUCCCGGUACGUUACAUGUACAAGUCACCUGCCAGGUUGGUAACCACUUAAGACUUCCAAUAGAAGCAGAUGCAGAGAUGCUUUGGAUGACUGAUGGUGGUGAUGAAGAUGUCACCAAGACGCUUUCAACAAACGAAAGAAGCGAAAACAAAACUUGACCAAAAUCGGCGAAGCCUUAAGUACAGGGAGAAACCUUAAGUAUAGAGAGUGAGGCUGCCUGUUCCAGAAGAAACAAAGGUGUACCCGUUCAGGUUCACGGGUGUGAACUCUGGCCUGUCACUCCAGGUGGAGCUGCGAAUUAUGGCGGGGAGGAACUCCCUUAAAGGAGAGAAGACGACGUCAUCAGACAUGUCCUCAGAAGGAAAAUUCCCAGUGCGUGACGGGAAGGAAGAGCUGCCACUUCCGGCAACAGUCAGGAGAGGGACGGAAGGACACCUGGGUCAAAAUGUCACCAUUCCUGCAUAUCAGGGGAGAGGUACUCCGUGAUAGAAAUUACUGGAACGUAUAAGGAACACUGUCGUGGAUUGUCUUAAAGAGAGUGCCAUUCGUGGCAAGCGGAUGUCUAUGUCUUUGGAACGAAAAACAUCAAGGUGCAAUUCGGGGAAAUAUUACGAAAUCUCUCAUGACAGGAGGUAAGACGGGAAGAAAUCAGGCGACAAGGACGGCCCAAGUUGGGACCAGGCUGUCUGUCUGUCUGGACCACUGCUCAGCGAUGCCUUGAGACGCACACUUCGGCAGGCAGGGAGAUGUUAUACCGAGAUGGAGAAACAGAUAACCCCCAGAGAGGAGGCAGAGACGACACAGCAGACAGGAGAUGGGGGAUAGUUCCUCCACACAUCGUGCAGCAGACACACAGACACGUCUCCUCUACCUGUACUGACAUGAGGAGGUGUGACAGCAAACAGAGUCUACAGCACAGGUAUGACAAGCGAGGUUCCGGGCGGCGGGAUGGUCUGUACACACACAGUGGAGUACCCACGCCACACAGCACGCAGCCUGCUGACAGCGUCCUCUUCCGCACGGGGAUUCUCCUCAGGGACGCGCCGGGACCCUCUUCUCGGAGGAUCCUACAUCCCAAACCAGCCUAGUGCAGGCUCGAUCUGCGAACUCAGUGUCUUAAAGACGAAAUCCUUACGGUGAGAACGUCCCUUCGACCUGGCGGAGGGGCAACGCCCACUUGCUGUGGUACAAUUGCAACGUUACGGAUCAUACAUCGGUGCUGGGCACACACAGGUGUGGGCAGCUGCUACUCUACAGCCAGCUGCAGACAGGUGAUAUUCAUUCGCAGGUGUCAUGAGGAGCAGGACACCUGCAGGUAGAAGGACCAGGAUGGCCGUUAGGAGGAAUGAUGAGGAGAUAACGGGUGAUCAAGAGGUUCUUCUGCCUCAGCGGGUCACAGAUAGGUCACGCACAACUGUGACAGAACACAACCGCCUGGUCUCUGACGGACACGGCUAGAACACGACGUGAUGGCGGGACCUGUACGAACUGAUCAGAGUCAUCACAACAAACAGACGAGUUGGCCGUGUUGAACGUACGCCGAGCCGGGCGCGACCCACAUACACCGCCCGAGAAAAUCUUGCGUGGUGCAGCGUCUACACCAACUGCAAAAGGACGCGCUUUUGUCGGAAUUCACGACGGGUAACUCCGGUGUUACGCCCGUCUUUAAUAUUCCCGGGAACUUCGCCAUACCGUACCUGAAGCAGGACAGUGUCAGUAGCAGGGGAGGAGGACGGAAAGACUCACAUCAUAGUCGCUGGGACGCCACGGAUUACGCAAACUGUCGCUGUUUGUUCAUAGAAGAGGCCAAACUCUGACGGACUAUAGGAACUUGAAAAAGACGGUCGGGACAGAGAGGGGUGCCCAUCAGAAGAAGCUGUCAGGACGCCCAGGACACAUCUGGUCACAGGUUGGAAACUGUCAAAGGUCGCCAUUACGCCAUGGGCAGCAGAAGGACACAAAGACGACGGCCACUUUGCGUAGCUUAGAAUAUUACUGUCUUCUGCGGCCGCCGGGCUUUUAGGUGAGAUGGAUAUCUGGCCCCUGUGCCGACUGCCCGCGUGGACUCCUGACAUUUUUCAGACAGUAGACAAGGCAGCGAGCUGAGGUCUUACUCGCCCUCUCAAGCAGCCGUUCUCCCAGGAGCGGAGGCAGACACGCCGGUGCCGGUAGGAGGAGAGUCAAAGGGAGGCCAUCUUUGGAUGGCUACAUGGUGCUGGGGCUGGGCCCGAACGAUAAAGCCAAAUACAAGGCCACAACGAACACUCCAAACAUCACAGAGGAGCCAUGUACAUUGCCGUGGGGGAGGGGCACCAUGCUGCAUCUGAAACAGCGAGGAGAUUUGGUAGAACCAAUUGUUGGACAGGGUCCAUAACUACUCCCUCCCCCGGGCAUGUGGAUGGACUGUGGAGCUUCUGGACACUCCUGUAGUCUGGUUCAUGCGGGGCAGAAGAUGGAGCACUUUAAUCUAGUGAUGACGGAUUACCGGACUGCCUGUAUGAUUUUUAUAUACGACACGGAGAAGAUGAGUUCUUGUAAGAUAGGCAUCAUGAUGUUACCAUGUAGUGGAAUCGAUCAUCAAGAUUCGAUCGGAAGUGUGGGGUCAGAUUGGAAUACGGCGUGUGCAGGUUUCAUGUCCAGUGCCCUGGGAAAUGACGGUCAGGAUUCAUCAGUGCGCGGGAACGUCGCUGUCCAUGGGGACGGCACCCGCGAACUUCCCCGCCGAACUUUGCCGUGAGUCAUGCGGCAGAGUUCACAGAGUUUCAUCCGGGGCUCUGCAGAGGGCACAUCACGCACACAGCCCGCUGAUUUACCGGAUUGUGGCAGGAAAAUAGAGACUGUGCGACUCUUUUCAUCUGCCAUUACUGCGGCCACAAGUUCACCGCAGGUCCGGCAGGAAGUCACCAUGCUCUGUAGAAGACAAUGGGAGGGGUGGGCUCAUAGGGUUACCAUGGACUUAUUGUGUAUGGAAACAUUAAACAACAUUCAGGACGUUUAUGAUAUAGCAUUGUUUGUACUUCAUCGAUUUCGUAACAAAAUGAUAGAUCAACGAAAAAGAUGUGAGAAAGUCUGUGAACCUCGAUCAUUACAUGAUAUUGCAGGGUGUAACUCCCCUUCAGUACUAGAUACAGUAUUGGAAUUGGUACCUCACAACAUGAAGACCUACACUCGCCAUUUUGAACCACAUAGCUGUCCAAGGUAUACAUUUCGUGACAUUGUGUCUUUGAGACAAAUCUCAAAACGUCUGCAGUGCGUAGCAAUAGCAAGACCAGUACGAUCACGAUAUCAACAUGUGGCCAGGCUAGGCUUUGGUAAAACUGCAGAAAGUAUUGUUCCUGAUAUAAUGAUGUGAAGGUUGAUAUGAAUGUAUGGCAUUUUCUAUGCUCUGGGAUAAAUAUGAUUAUUGUCUCACAAACUGAAAAUAGCAUCUAAAUCGUUACGUUACCGCAAUAUUGAGACAAUAUUAAGAUAAUACUUAGGCCCUAGGAGACUAUGAUGUGUGGAGAUGUUAGGUCUGGUAGUAUCUGCGCCCAGGGGUGUCUUGAGUAUCAGAUCUAGAGGGGGAGGGGUCGACGGAUUUACUCUUGGUACGACCAUGAGACAGUUUUCAGUAGUUACAUUUAGACAGUUACAGCUCGCAUUGUUCUUUCGCCCAUUGUAAAUUACAAGGUACAGUCACAGUCUUCAGUAAAAUUUCGGUGUACUCAACAACGAUAAGAUAAUUGUAUGAGACAGAAUAACGUAGCAGGGACUCUCGUUCGUUAGAAGGAUGUGAUAAGAAAGUGGUAUUUACGCAUUGCAGCAGAGGACAGUUUGAACAAUGCUAUGAGAAAGUGGAAUAUAACAGUCUGUAUGAUUAUCUAUCAUUUGAAAGAAAGUAGAAUGUACCAGAGCUUGUAUCGUUCUCUUACGUUAGAAGAAAUGAGAAAGUGGAAUGUAGCAAAACUUGAAGUUAGCAGAAUGCUUUUAGAGAGUGGAAUGUACCAGAGACUGUAGUUAGAAGAAUGCUAUGAGAAUGUGGAAUGUAUCAGAGUCAGUAGUUAGAAGAAUGCUAUGAGAAAGUGGAAUGUACAAGAGACUGUAGUUAGCAGAAUGCUAUGAGAAAGUGGAAUGUACCAGAGUCUGUAGUUAGAAGAAUGCUAUGAGAAAGUGGAAUGUACCAGAAUCAGUAGUUAGAAGAAUGCUAUGAGAAAGUGGAAUGUACCAGAAUCAGUAGUUAGAAGAAUGCUAUGAGAAAGUGGAAUGUACCAGAAUCAGUAGUUACAAGAAUGCUAUGAGAAAGUGGAAUGUACCAGAAUCAGUAGUUACAAGAAUGCUAUGAGAAAGUGGAAUGUACCAGAAUCAGUAGUUACAAGAAUGCUAUGAGAAAGUUCGCCACACAAAACGUUGACCCUUCCCGACGGGGUCCCGGCACAGUCUGUGCAGACUUCCCUCCAUUGUUGUCCCAGAUUAAGCAUAUCUAAAAGGGAACAAUGUUAGAAGUAUAGGCAGUACUAUAAAUGCGGAAAGGUCGUGAGAAAGGUACGCACAGUGUUCUGAUUUACAGGCUGCUCCCCCUGACUGGUGUCCUGGCCGACCUGGCAGAAAACCACCCAUGACUACCAAUGUGGCGUACAGAGAUCUGAUCUAGGAAAUACCGGGGAAAGAAUUUUAAAAGUAAUAAAACUUUUGGAAACUUA